rnacentral:rRNA from 1 species
UGGGGAAUCUUCGGCAAUGGACGGAAGUCUGACCGAGCAACGCCGCGUGAGUGAAGAAGGUUUUCGGAUCGUAAAGCUCUGUUGUAAGAGAAGAACGAGUGUGAGAGUGGAAAGUUCACACUGUGACGGUAUCUUACCAGAAAGGGACGGCUAACUACGUGCCAGCAGCCGCGGUAAUACGUAGGUCCCGAGCGUUGUCCGGAUUUAUUGGGCGUAAAGCGAGCGCAGGCGGUUAGAUAAGUCUGAAGUUAAAGGCUGUGGCUUAACCAUAGUAGGCUUUGGAAACUGUUUAACUUGAGUGCAAGAGGGGAGAGUGGAAUUCCAUGUGUAGCGGUGAAAUGCGUAGAUAUAUGGAGGAACACCGGUGGCGAAAGCGGCUCUCUGGCUUGUAACUGACGCUGAGGCUCGAAAGCGUGGGGAGCAAACAGGAUUAGAUACCCUGGUAGUCCACGCUGUAAACGAUGAGUGCUAGGUGUUAGACCCUUUCCGGGGUUUAGUGCCGUAGCUAACGCAUUAAGCACUCCGCCUGGGGAGUACGACCGCAAGGUUG